CUUAGUGGCGAACGGGUGAGUAACGCGUGAGUAACCUGCCCUGGAGUGGGGGACAACAGUUGGAAACGACUGCUAAUACCGCAUAAGCCCACGGAUCCGCAUGGAUCUGCGGGAAAAGGAUUUAUUUGCUUCAGGAUGGACUCGCGUCCAAUUAGCUAGUUGGUGAGGUAACGGCCCACCAAGGCGACGAUCAGUAGCCGGCCUGAGAGGGUGAACGGCCACAUUGGGACUGAGACACGGCCCAAACUCCUACGGGAGGCAGCAUG
rnacentral:rRNA from 1 species